rnacentral:lncRNA from 1 species
GGCUCAGAUGUCAUUAUUGCAUUAUGGACGCCCUACAUUAUUGAUCUCAGGAGCCUCUGGCUCCUCCUUGCUCUGUUCCCAGCUCCUGGCCCUCCUUCUCUCUCCAGGAGCAGCAGGAGAGGAGGGGAAACGUCAGCCCUGGCCCCCUACCGCAUGGAGCAGGCAGCUACACCCGGGGGACUAGGGCUCCCUUGCAGCCCCCAGCAGGCCUUGGUGCUGUACCAGCACCUCUUCAGGUGCCCCGCAGACCUGGGCCAGCUCCAGGUUGCCCUGCAGCAGGUACAAGAGGGCCAGGCCUGCCGCUCAGGCUUGGAACUACCCACCGCCCUGCUGCAGAUGGAGCGGAGGCGGCGGGCCCAGGAGCAGGUAGGGGCUGGGGUGGUGGUGGCAAGGGUAGCGUGGGUGACUCUUGACAUCCUGGCACCCUAUCUUCCUACAGCUCCUGUGGGACUUGGAGCUGCUGACUGGGGCGGGGCUGGGCCUCUUCUGGCCCCCCUGGGCCCAGUUCUGCGGUCUGAGAGGCCAGGCCCAGGGUGCAGGGAGCCAGCGCAGCAAGCUCUGCGGGAGGAUGGAAAGCGCUGAGCGGCUGAUGAGAGAGAAUUCCAGGCAGUGCCCAUCAUCCCAGGCUGAGGACUCCCUGAGCCAGAGCCAUCAGCUCCUGGGGGGGUAAGUAUCCCAGGGAAUUUUAUCCACUCCCUGUUGCCACUGAAAGCCACCCAACACUGGACCCUUGGCCCUAUCUCCCUCCACAGCCCUGCCCAGUGACCCCUCCUAGUGCCCCCAGCUCCUCCUGGGCCUCUCAGUUGUACCCAUGUGUUCCCCUGGAGCCCCUGGAAAGGGUAACUGUGUGUUCCAGCUCCUGGGAGCCAGUGGUGGGUACAGGGGUGGGGAAGGUGCCCUGUACUGAGUUGGGUUGGGUGACAGAGUGGGAACGCUGAGCAGCCUGCUGGGGGCAGAGAGGCUGGCACACCAGCUGUGCCCCCACCCACAUCCCCAGCCCAGAUGCAAGGGGUGCAUCUGAGGCGGUCUUUGUACCCCUGCAGGGGGAAAGGAGUGGCCCCAUCAUCAGCCCGGAUCUGGGUGAAGCCAGGAGUGAUACGGAUG